CUCGCUAAAACCAACCGCAGCGCCCGCACUCGUCAAACCGAUCUCGCUUCGGUCGCCGCCGUUCACCGUCGUUUCCAUCGUCGGUUUGACCGGAGCCACCGCCUCAAGCUCGCGACGCCGGCAGAGUUCAUCCAGAGCACGGGAGUUUACGCCGAGGCCCGCUCGACUCCGACGUCUCCUCGCCUCACUAUCCACAGAAAAUCGGACCCUCCAGGAGUUCUCCAUCCACUGGACAUCGCCGUCUCCGCUGCCGGUCACCGGAGCCACCACCCCGCCGGCGCCCUGCUUCUCUGCCACCGCCGUUUCUUCUCUGCAAGUCACAUUUUCUUCGGAGAGUGACGAUUAGUUCUACCAAGUCAUUUUCUGACAGCGUUGUUAUCUUCAUCAAGUAAUACCAGGC